AAACUGGAAGACCUCAGUCAUCAUCCUCGUUUUAGCUCAAAUUUGGUGGGAUCAAAGGUGGCCAGCUGGGAGUGGGCGGGGAGCAGAUGGUUGCAUGCUCAGAGGGACCAGGCAAAGGCCCUUCAGGUUUUAACACCUCCUCUCCCCUGGGUGCCCGGGUGGGGGGGAUCCGGCUCGGGGAACCUACCUGAGCUCAGUGGCAUGACCAGCAGGCUUCCACUGUACCACCCCCUGCUUCGUUCGCAUAUGGCGCCAGCCAUGGGGGCUUUGAGCUGGGGUUCUGACCUGAGGAAAAUAAACUGUGGAAGGGCAGGGGAAGUCUUAAGCAUCCUGUCCUGUGUCUCCCUCUGCACACUAAAGAGAAAAUAAAUCCACUGCUGACACCGCCACAAUGAAUGGCCCAGGCCACCGUCCCAUCAACCAUCUCUUCCAGCUCAGAACAGAAGGAGAAAAGGAUAAUGGAUACUGGAUCAGAGAAAAGAGAAAUAAAACAACAACAACAAAAAAACAAUAGUGUAUACAGAAUCUGACAAUAGAGCCUCCAUCCCUUUUCCAUCUACCCAUCAUUUCUAUGAAAGAAUAAAUUCAAAACAUUCCCAAAAAA